GGCCCUGUCUUCUAGUGGCUAGGAAAUCUCGCUUUCAAUGAGAAAACACGAGUUCGAUUCUCGUCAGGGCCG
rnacentral:tRNA from 1 species